CCUACGGGAGGCAGCAGUGGGGAAUCUUGCGCAAUGGGCGAAAGCCUGACGCAGCAACGCCGCGUGUGUGAUGAAGGUCUUCGGAUCGUAAAGCACUGUCGCGAGGGACGAAUAAGGGGCGGGCUAACAUCCCGCUCCGAUGACGGUACCUCGAGAGGAAGCACCGGCUAACUCUGUGCCAGCAGCCGCGGUAAUACAGAGGGUGCAAGCGUUGUUCGGAAUUAUUGGGCGUAAAGCGCGUGUAGGCGGCCUUGCAAGUUGGGUGUGAAAGCCCUCGGCUUAACCGAGGAAGUGCGCCCAAAACUACGAGGCUUGAGUGCCGGAGAGGGUGGCGGAAUUCCCGGUGUAGAGGUGAAAUUCGUAGAUAUCGGGAGGAACACCAGUGGCGAAGGCGGCCACCUGGACGGUAACUGACGCUGAGACGCGAAAGCGUGGGGAGCAAACAGGAUUAGAUACCCUGGUAGUCCACGCUGUAAACGAUGAGCGCUAGGUGUUGUGGGUGUUGACCCCCGCAGUGCCGCAGCUAACGCAUUAAGCGCUCCGCCUGGGAAGUACGGCCGCAAGGCUAAAACUCAAAGGAAUUGACGG
rnacentral:rRNA from 1 species